rnacentral:rRNA from 1 species
AGCGAACGCUGGCGGCAGGCCUAACACAUGCAAGUCGAACGAACCUUUCGGGGUUAGUGGCGGACGGGUGAGUAACACGUGGGAACGUGCCUUUAGGUUCGGAAUAACUCAGGGAAACUUGUGCUAAUACCGAAUGUGCCCUUCGGGGGAAAGAUUUAUCGCCUUUAGAGCGGCCCGCGUCUGAUUAGCUAGUUGGUUGAGGUAAUGGCUCACCAAGGCGACGAUCAGUAGCUGGUCUGAGAGGAUGAUCAGCCACAUUGGGACUGAGACACGGCCCAAACCCCCAGGGGAGGCAGCAGGGGGGAAUCUUGCGCAAUGGGCGAAAGCCUGACCCAGCCAUGCCGCGUGAAUGAUGAAGGUCUUAGGAUUGUAAAAUUCUUUCCCCGGGGACGAUAAUGGCGGUACCCGGAGAAGAAGCCCCGGCUAACUUCGU